rnacentral:lncRNA from 1 species
UGGAAUGAAUGCAAAGACGGCAUUCAAUGUCCCGUUAUGGAAAUCUGCUGACAUACAGGAGCUCACACUGGCUGAUCUCAACUACAACACAACGUCCAGAGCCAGGGACCAAAGAGGGAAGAGUUCAGCCCUGGGUCAGCCUGUUCCUUUGGUUCCCGAUGAGAGAAACUUCUACCAGAACCCUGAAGGAGAUGAGCCUCCCCCUCCAGCAUCCAGACCCAAGGCCCGGACCCGACCAAGACCUCCACCACCACCAGAAGAUGACGAAGAAGCUCCUCCACUGCCUCAACCCAGGAAAAAGGCCCCCCGAACACCAAGGAGCUAGGACCCUGCGCACCCCUGUGUCUUCCCAGAACUCAGGUCAAACAUCUGUUUUCUUGCGCAGAAGGACUGAACAUGUGUCUUCUGCUGCACCUGCUGCCUGUUCAGAAAACUGGAUCACAGUCAAGAAAACGGUCCCUGAGUGCAUUUGGGAAGACACACAUAUUUAUCACAAACACGCGCGGAGCUUGUACGUGAUUAGAAGUCCCCGCAAGAAUGUUGUUGGGACAAUUUUUUGCUACUAAACACAGAAGAACAUUUGUGAUGCAUUUGUGUGUGAACCUUGGUGGUCCUCUAACGCUUGAAAAUUUGUGCUGUUUUUUUAACUAAUAUUUUGAAACUGGAGUGUGCCUUAAAUUGUUUUUUUGGGAAAUGUAAUAUAAUUUUCAAAAAGGUUUUGCGUUUUAUUUUUUGUUUUAUUGCAGUAUUUUUGAGAGGAAGGGGGGUUAGUUCUGAUUUUGCUGACUCCAGCUACAUCCAUCCAAAUAUUGCUGGAGUGAUAAUUUAUUAAACUGUUUGGUGUAACACGUGUACAAGAGAGAUUUGCAACCUUGUUGGACAUUUUUAUAUUAUUUUUGUAUUCGGUUUGGUAAACAGAAUGCACCUAACAAGAAGUCUAGAUGUGUGUUUAUUUCCUCUCAGUACGAAUGUGGUGACAUUUCAUAUAAUGACAUUGACAUGCAUUUCUACAGAGAUCGGGUCGGGCUCGCUGUUCAUCUGUGAAUACUCAGUUUCAGGUAAAAAAAGGAAGUCGAGGGCUUUUUCUUUUGACGGCUGCGACACACUUUGUAAUGCAAAAGCAUCAUCAGUUUUGUUCCAUUUCCCACCUCACAACCACGAUCUAAUCUCUUUCUCUCUUUUUUCUUUUUGCUCUCUCCUCGUAUAGCUCACACACUGCCAGUGGAAUGUGGUUUUAAGAGCAGCUUAACCCACCCUGUCAACACUUCUAGUCUUUUCCUGUGUAAGAAUGAGGAAACGUAGGUGUGUGUGUGUGGUAUACACACUUUGCAGUUCUGCACAAUGCUACAUCUUGUAAGCAUUGUUUUGAGAAACCACUGUGACAAAAAGAAGGAGGAUGUUCAAACGCUCUUGUGUGCUUUUGUGUUGCCAGAUCAUGUACAAAUUGUUCAACUUAUUGUUCAGCUAAGGAACUGGACCUGUAAUCAGAAGGUUGUCGGUUCAAAUAAAAAAGCAUUCGGGAUUUGAACCCA